UACGGGGGGGGCAAGCGUUGUUCGGGAUUACUGGGCGUAAAGGGCUCGUAGGUGGCCAACUAAGUCAGACGUGAAAUCCCUCAGCUUAACUGGGGAACUGCGUCUGAUACUGGAUGGCUUGAGUUUGGGAGAGGGAUGCGGAAUUCCAGGUGUAGCGGUGAAAUGCGUAGAUAUCUGGAGGAACACCGGUGGCGAAGGCGGGCUACUGGGCCGAUACUGACGCUGAUGCGCGAAAGCCAGGGGAGCGACCGGG
rnacentral:rRNA from 1 species